rnacentral:rRNA from 1 species
UACGGAGGGAGCUAGCGUUGUUCGGAAUUACUGGGCGUAAAGCGCGCGUAGGCGGCUUUGUAAGUUAGAGGUGAAAGCCCGGGGCUCAACUCCGGAACUGCCUUUAAGACUGCAUCGCUAGAAUCCAGGAGAGGUGAGUGGAAUUCCGAGUGUAGAGGUGAAAUUCGUAGAUAUUGGGAAGAACACCGGUGGCGAAGGCGGCUCUCUGGACCGUAACUGACGCUGAGGCGCGAAAGCGUGGGGAGCAAACAGG